rnacentral:rRNA from 1 species
UGGGGAAUAUUGCACAAUGGGCGCAAGCCUGAUGCAGCCAUGCCGCGUGUAUGAAGAAGGCCUUCGGGUUGUAAAGUACUUUCAGAGGGGAGGAAGGCGAUGUGGUUAAUAACCGCGUCGAUUGACGUUACCCGCAGAAGAAGCACCGGCUAACUCCGUGCCAGCAGCCGCGGUAAUACGGAGGGUGCAAGCGUUAAUCGGAAUUACUGGGCGGAAAGCGCACGCAGGCGGUCUGUCAAGUCGGAUGUGAAAUCCCCGGGCUCAACCUGGGAACUGCAUCCGAAACUGGCAGGCUUGAGUCUCGUAGAGGGGGGUAGAAUUCCAGGUGUAGCGGUGAAAUGCGUAGUGAUCUGGAGGAAUACCGGUGGCGAAGGCGGCCCCCUGGACGAAGACUGACGCUCAGGUGCGAAAGCGUGGGGAGCAAACA